AGACAGACAGCUGGCUUACAGGGCCACCUGAAGACGUUCCAGGGCUCCACAGGCCACUGUCUUCUGGAGGGGAACGGAUCGACUGCCGGUGCGCCCAGCCAAAUUCAACUCCUGAGUCCUCAGUCUCUAGUCCCGGGAAGGAUCGAGGCCAUCAAGCUACAGAUGGUCUUACAAAUGGAACCCCAAGUGAACUCAACUAACAACUUCCACCAAGGACCCCUGGACCAACCCGUUGGCCCUUUGACUGGCCUAAAGAGUUCCCUUCUGAAGGACACUACAAGUGCAGGGCCCCUUCUUCGCCCCUAUCCAGCAGUAAGUGGCUAGAGAGGUCAUCACCCAAUUCCCAACAGCAGUUGUGGUGUCCUGUUUAGAUGGGGGAUUGAGAGGUGAAGCCAGCUGGACUUCCUGGGUCAAGUGGGGACUUGGAGAACUUUUCUGUCUAGCUAGAGGAUUGUAAAUGCACCAAUCAGUGCUCUGUGUCUAGCUAAAGGAUUGUAAAUGCACCAAUCAGCACUCUGUAAAAACGCAGCAAUCAGCACUCUGUAACUAGCUAAAGGGUUGUAAAUGCACCAAUCAGCACUCUGUAAAAUGGAACAAUCUGCAGGAUGUGGGCAAAUAAUGGAAUAAAAGCUGGCCACCCCAGUCAGCAGCAGCAGGGAACCGCUCAGAUACCCUUCCACACCGUGGAAACUUUGUUCUUACCCUCUUGACGAAAAAUCUUGCUGCUGCUCACUCUUUGGGUCCACACCACCUUUAAGAGCUACAACGAUCACCACGACAGUCUGCGGCUUCAUUCUUGAAGUCAGCGACACCACAAACCCACCAGAAGGGAGAAACUCCAGACACAUCUGAAGGAACAAACUCCAGACACAACAUCUUUAACAGCUGUAACACACACUGUGAAGGUCCACGGCUUCAUUCUUGAAGCCAGCGAGACCACGAACCCUCUGGAAGGAACCAACUCUGGACACAGCAGGACGUGAGACUUCUACCUGCUCACUCAGAAUCAUUUCCGCACCAACCAUGGCCACGUUUGUGGAGCUCAGUACAAAAGCCAAGAUGCCCAUUGUGGGCCUGGGCACUUGGAGGUCUCUUCUCGGCAAAGUGAAAGAAGCGGUGAAGGUGGCCAUUGAUGCAGAAUAUCGCCACAUUGACUGUGCCUAUUUCUAUGAGAAUCAACAUGAGGUGGGAGAAGCCAUCCAAGAGAAGAUCCAAGAGAAGGCUGUGAUGCGGGAGGACCUGUUCAUCGUCAGCAAGGUGUGGCCCACUUUCUUUGAGAGACCCCUUGUGAGGAAAGCCUUUGAGAAGACCCUCAAGGACCUGAAGCUGAGCUAUCUGGACGUCUAUCUUAUUCACUGGCCACAGGGAUUCAAGGUUUGAGUGACUCCCUUUCUCAGCCUCUAGUUUCUGAGCUGUUGCAGGAAUUCAGGGACCCCCAACAGAGAGACUGGCUGAAGCCAUGGCAGAAGAACAUAAAUUGUGAAGAUUUCAUGGACAUUUCUUAAUUCCCCACAUUAAUGUUUUUAUAAUUUCUUACGCCUGUCUUUACUGCAAUCUCUGAACAUAAAUUGUGAAGAUUUCAUGAACAUUUAUCACUUCCCCAAUCAGUACUUUUGUGAUUUCCUAUGCCUGUCUUUACUUAAAUCUCUUAAUCCCAUCAUCUUCGUAAGCUGAGGAUGAAUGUCGCCUCAGGACCCUGUGAUGAUUGCAUUAACUGCACAAAUUGUUUGUAGAGCAUGUGUGUUUGAACAAUAUCAAAUAUGGGCACCUUAAGAACAGGAUAACAGCGAUGUUCAGGGAACAAGGGAGAUAACCUUAAAGUCUGGCUGCCUGUGGGCCGGGCAGCACAGAGCCAUAUUUCUCUUCUUUCAAAAGAAAAUAGGAGAAAUAUUGCUGAAUUCUUUUUCUCAGCAAGGAACAACCCUGAGAAAGAGAAUGCGCUCCUAGGGGUAGGCCUCUAAAAUGGCUGCUCUGGGGACGGCUGUCUUUUACAGUUGUAGAUAAGGGAUGAAAUAAGCCCCGGACUCCUGUUGUGCUCCCAGGCUUAUUAGGACGAGGAAAUUCCCACCUAAUAAAUUUUGGUCAGACCGAUUGUGUGCUCUCAAACCCUGUCUCCUGAUAAGACGUUAUCAAUGACAAUGCAUGCCCGAAACUUCAUUAGCAAUUUUAAUUUUGCCCCGGUCCUGUGAUCUUGCCCUGCCUCCAUUUGCCUUGUGAUAUUUUAUUACCUUGUGAAGUAGGUCAUCUCUGUGAUCCACACCCUAUUUGUAUACUCCCUCCCCUUUUGAAAAUCACUAAUAAAAACUUGCUGGUUUUGUA